rnacentral:rRNA from 1 species
GACGAACGCUGGCGGCGUGCUUAACACAUGCCAGUCGAACGGUGAAGCGCCUUCCUUUUUGGUGGGUGUGGAUGAGUGGCGAACGGGUGAGUAACACGUGAGUAACCUGCCCCCUUCUUCUGGAUAACCGCAUGAAAGUGUGGCUAAUACGGGAUAUUCUGGGUCUGUCGCAUGAUGGGUCUGGGAAAGAUAUUGUUUCGGUGGGGGAUGGGCUCGCGGCCUAUCAGCUUGUUGGUGGGGUGAUGGCCUACCAAGGCGGUGACGGGUAGCCGGCCUGAGAGGGUGGACGGUCACACUGGGACUGAGACACGGCCCAGACCCCUACGGGAGGCAGCAGUGGGGAAUAUUGCACAAUGGGCGCAAGCCUGAUGCAGCGACGCCGCGUGAGGGAUGGAGGCCUUCGGGUUGUGAACCUCUUUCGCCAGUGAAGCAGGCCUGCCUCGUUUGUGGGUGGGUUGACGGUAGCUGGAUAAGAAGCGCCGGCUAACUACGUG